AGAGUUUGAUCCUGGCUCAGAAUGAAACCUGGCGGUGUGCCUAACACAUGCAAGUCAAACGACAAUUUAUUUGGAGUGGCGGACGGGUGAGUAACACGUAAGAACCUACCUUUAGGAGGGGGAUACCAUCCCGGGAAACUGGUGCUAAUACCCCAUAUGCUGAGAAGUGAAAUGGUAUUUAACCGCCUAGAGAGGGGCUUGCGGCUGAUUAGCUAGUUGGUGGGGUAAUGGCCUCCCAAGGCGACGAUCAGUAGCUGGUUUGAGAGGAUGAUCAGCCACACUGGGACUGAGACACGGCCCAGACUCCUACGGGAGGCAGCAGUGAGGAAUUUUCCGCAAUGGGCGAAAGCCUGACGGAGCAAUACCGCGUGGAGGAAAAAGAAGACCUGUGGGUUGUAAACUCCUUUUCUCAGAGAAGAAUACUGACGGUAUCUGAGGAAUAAGCACCGGCUAACUAUGUGCCAGCAGCCGCGGUAAUACAUGGGGUGCGAGGUUUAUUCGGAAUGAUUGGGCGUAAAGCGUUCGUAGGUGGUUUCACGAAGUCCACUGUCAAAGAUCAGGGCUUAACCUUGGGCA
rnacentral:rRNA from 1 species